rnacentral:rRNA from 1 species
UACGAAGGGAGCUAGCGUUGUUCGGAAUCACUGGGCGUAAAGCGCACGUAGGCGGAUCGUUAAGUCGAGGGUGAAAUCCCGGGGCUCAACCUCGGAACUGCCUUCGAUACUGGCGAUCUUGAGUCCGGGAGAGGUGGGUGGAAUUCCUAGUGUAGAGGUGAAAUUCGUAGAUAUUAGGAAGAACACCAGUGGCGAAGGCGGCCCACUGGCCCGAGACUGACGCUGAGGUGCGAAAGCGUGGGGAGCAAACAGG